GACGAACGCUGGCGGCGUGCUUAACACAUGCAAGUCGAACGGAAAGGCCCUGCUUUUGUGGGGUGCUCGAGUGGCGAACGGGUGAGUAACACGUGAGUAACCUGCCCUUGACUUUGGGAUAACUUCAGGAAACUGGGGCUAAUACCGGAUAGGAGCUCCUGCUGCAUGGUGGGGGUUGGAAAGUUUCGGCGGUUGGGGAUGGACUCGCGGCUUAUCGGCUUGUUGGUGGGGUAGUGGCUUACCAAGGCUUUGACGGGUAGCCGGCAUGAGAGGGUGAACGGCGACAUGGGGACUGAGAUACGGCCCAGACUCCUACGGGAGGCAGCAGUGGGGAAUAUUGCAGAAUGGGGGGACGCCUGAGGCAGAAACGCCGCGUGCGGGAUGCCGGCUUUCGGGUUGUAAACCGCUUUCGCCUGUGACGAAGCGUGAGUGACGGUAAUGGGUAAAGAAGCACCGGCUAACUACGUG
rnacentral:rRNA from 1 species